rnacentral:rRNA from 1 species
UUGUCGGUAAAACUCGUGCCAGCCACCGCGGUUAUACGAAAGACCCUAGUUGAUAUUUACGGCGUAAAGGGUGGUUAAGGAGAACAACAAAAUAAAGCCAAAGACCUUCUAAGCUGUUAUACGCACCCCGAAGGCACGAAGCCCUAACACGAAAGUAGCUUUAACUCACCAAAACCUGACCCCACGAAAGCUAAGAAACAAACUGGGAUUAGAUACCCCACUAUGA